rnacentral:lncRNA from 1 species
UAUUAUUUUUAUUCUAUGUAUAUAUUAACUUUUCAAUUUUGAUACGUUUAGUUUAAAAUAUAUAUUUAUAUUUUAAAUUUAUCAGAAUUAAAAAAAAUAUAGAAAAAUAUUCGAUGUAUACCUAAAUCUACACUAAUAUAUAAAUUUUAUAAAAUAAAAAUUAUAUAAUUAUUGUUGGCAACAAUUAUUUAAAUUUGAGUUAAAUGUAGCAAAUAUUUUUUAAUAGUGUAUAAUAAAUAAAUUUAUUUUUUUAGAAUUUAAAUUUUAUAUUAUAAAUUUUUGAAUAAAUGAAAUGUACAAAUUUAUAUAAUUUAAGAUAAUUAUUAAAAUAUUUGUUACGUGGAUUUCCUCGAAUACUCAACUAGUCUUAUACAAUAUUCAGGGCUAAUAAAUUUAUUAAUUUAUUAAAUUAGUUUUAAACAAUUUUUUUUUUUGAUUAAACAGGGAUAUAUGUUUUAAACAAUAUUUUGAUGUUAAUUAAUUAGAUAAAAUAACUUUAAUUUAAAAUUAUAACUCUUAUUUCUCUUGUUCCAAUCUAAUCAUACAAAUACUAUUUACUUUAUUUCUAGGAACAACUCAAUUUUCAUUCAACGCAAAAUUACUCUAGUUCCUGUUUGUAAAUGAAUUUGUACCUAUCCCUGCUUAUUCAUCUAAAUGCAAAAUUGAUCUAAUUCAUGUUUAUACUUGAAUUUGUAUCUAUUUCUAAAAUAAGCAGUUUUUAUUUAUACCCGAACCAAACACAGCCUUAAGGAUAAUAAACAUAUUCUGAUCACAAGAGAGUAAUGUCAUGUGUAGUGAAAGAGUACAAUUAAGAAAUAUCUUAUUUAUUUUUGUCAGCAAUAACAUAUUUUGCAAAUAAAAGUAUAUUUUGAGAAGGUGAUCGA